ACGAACGCUGGCGGCGUGCUUAACCCAUGCAAGUCGAACGGAAAGGCCCUGCUUUUGUGGGGUGCUCGAGUGGCGAACGGGUGAGUAACACGUGAGUAACCUGCCCUUGACUUUGGGAUAACUUCAGGAAACUGGGGCUAAUACCGGAUAGGAGCUCCUGCUGCAUGGUGGGGGUUGGAAAGUUUCGGCGGUUGGGGAUGGACUCGCGGCUUAUCAGCAUGUUGGUGGGGUAGUGGCUUACCAAGGCUUUGACGGGUAGCCGGCCUGAGAGGGUGACCGGCCACAUUGGGACUGAGAUACGGCCCAGACUCCUACGGGAGGCAGCAGUGGGGAAUAUUGCACAAUGGGCGGAAGCCUGAUGCAGCAACGCCGCGUGCGGGAUGACGGCCUUCGGGUUGUAAACCGCUUUCGCCUGUGACGAAGCGUGAGUGACGGUAAUGGGUAAAGAAGCACCGGCUAACUACGUG
rnacentral:rRNA from 1 species